rnacentral:lncRNA from 1 species
AUGUCUGACAUAGAGAAGGGAAGCCCAGACCUUGGUGGCCAGAACAGAGCCCGUGGUGGGGUGGGCCAGGACCCCAGAUCCACCGAGUCUGCGGAGUUGGGGGCAGAAGUCGCAAGGGCCGCAUACCCUGGGGACUUCCAGGCAAUAGUGCAAGCUCAUGUGGAAGAAGAGGUUUGGCUGGACAUCCCCGAAGUCAUCAUCGAGAACUGGGAUGUACAGCAGGUAGAAGAGGAGUGGGUGCCAGGAGAGGAGGAGGCAGUUGGGGAGGAGGAGGACGAGCAGGAGGAGGGAGAGGCAGAGGAAGGGGGUGAGGAGGAGAAGAAGAGGAGCAGGAAGAAAGCGACGAGCAAGAGCGUGAGAAUCAUGUGGACAAAGAGGAAGAGGAGGAUGAGUCCGUAUCAUUCUUCGCUAAAGAAGUGGCUGAAUAUAAGUAUGGCAACUCUGAGGAGGAGGCCCAGGAAGCGGGAGGUGAGGAAGAGGAUGAACGUGAAGAACCAGAAGAAGGACUCGAAAUGGACAUGGACUGCGCAGAGGGCAGCCCCGGAGAAUCCAGGUAUUAAUGUGUAGCCUGGAACAGUAACUAAUCGUUCCUGACAUAUGCCUGUUACUGACAACUUUAUGUUUGGAAGUUUUUCUGCAAAGUAAAUAGGAAAAACCUUUUGAAAUUCAGUUUUGAAAGAACAGUUUUAUGUUAAUCAUAUCCUUGUAUACUAGGAAAUCUAGAGGCAGUAUGUUCUGAAAUGUACUUCAUUCUUAGCCACCAGUCCUUUGUUCUGUAGCUAUAAGACUACUAGAGCCGUAAAUUUAUCAGACCUGGGACAUUUAGAGACCAGUGUUUUUUGAGAGGAUGGUCUCUAGAAGCAACAGCUAAGGUGGCCAGGCGACGCACUGGCUGUGCCUUCAUCCCCUGGCCACAGAAAUGUAGUCCCUUGUAAUAAUGAUGCCUUUGAGAAGGUGACUCCUUUCCAAGUAGUAAGACCACAUUUCAAGAUUAAUUCACAAAUAGUAGUUCAAUUUAGAUUUUUGUGUUUCAUGUGACAUUCACAAGAAAAGAAAAUUAGUCAUAGUAAACUAUUGUUUAUCAAUGAAUUGAUAAUUAAGUCUUAUAUUUCCUCUGUCCAUCCUUCUCUCUAUCCUCUCCCUCUGCUCCCUCUCUCUUCCUGAAUGUUCACAGCUGUGGAUAUCUAAUAACAGCCUCACCAAAUUUUGUGGAUAUGGAAACGGAAGAUCUGGGAGUAUAAGGGAUUUAUGAUUUGUGUAAAGAGCCCAGACUUUUGAAGUGGAAAGACUUAUUUAAAUCACAGAGUGGCCUCUCAAGAAAAAAAUCACGCAUUUAUAGUGGUGGGCAAGAGGGAGACGAGGUUGAUGUGGUCAAAUGAUUGAGGCAUGUGGGCCAUGAUAUCCAAGGGUCUGGGUUACAAGA